GGCCCCCUCGUCUAGUGGUUAGGACUCAGGGUUUUCGACCCUGCAACAGGGGUUCAAGUCCCCUGGGGGUCACCA
rnacentral:tRNA from 1 species